ACACUUUUUUUUUAUUCUUUAUUUCACCAUAAACGAGAGAUAAAUGAGCCAUGAGUAGAAUAUAAAUAGUAA